UACGUAGGGUGCAAGCGUUGUCCGGAAUUAUUGGGCGUAAAGAGCUCGUAGGCGGUCUGUCGCGUCUGCUGUGAAACUCAGGCUUAACCUGAGCUUGCAGUGGUACGGCAGACUAGAGUGCGGUAGGGAGACUGGAAUUCCUGUGUAGCGUGAAUGCGUAGAUAUCAGAGACACGAUGCGAGCAGCUCGCUGGACGUUACUGACGCUGAGACGCGAAGCGUGGGAGCAAC
rnacentral:rRNA from 1 species